GGUUGAUCCUGCCAGUAGUCAUACGCUUGUCUCAAAGAUUAAGCCAUGCAUGUCUAAGUAUAAGCACUUAUACAGUGAAACUGCGAAUGGCUCAUUAUAUCAGUUAUAGUUUAUUUGAUAGUCCCUACUACUUGGAUAACCGUAGUAAUUCUAGAGCUAAUACAUGCGCUAACUCCUGACCUCACGGAAAGGAUGUAUUUAUUAGAUACAACCAACCUUGUUUGGUGAAUCAUAAUAACUGAGCGAACCGCAUGCUUCGGCGGCGGUGGUUCAUUCAAGUUUCUGCCCUAUCA
rnacentral:rRNA from 1 species